rnacentral:rRNA from 1 species
CAAUAGCGUAUAUUAAAGUUGUUGCAGUUAAAAAGCUCGUAGUUGGAUUUCUGGUUGAAGCGACCGGUCGGGCGUUGAUUCGUCUGCACUGGAGUCGGUUUUGGCCAUCCUCUAGGAAAGUGCGUCUGGUAUUAAGUUAUCGGGCGUAUGAUCCUGGUCUUUUACUGUGAAAAAAUUAGAGUGUUUAAAGCAGGCCUUCGCCUUGAAUACAUUAGCAUGGAAUAAUAAGAUAGGACUUUGGUCUAUUUUGUUGGUUUGCAGACCGAAGUAAUGAUUAAUAGGGAUAGUUGGGGGUAUUUAUAUUCCGAUGUCAGAGGUGAAAUUCUUAGAUUUUCGGAAGAUAAACUUAUGCGAAAGCAUUUACCAAGGAUGCUUUCAUUA